GAUGAACGCUGGCGGCGUGCCUAAUACAUGCAAGUCGAGCGAACAGACGAGGAGCUUGCUCCUCUGACGUUAGCGGCGGACGGGUGAGUAACACGUGGAUAACCUACCUAUAAGACUGGGAUAACUUCGGGAAACCGGAGCUAAUACCGGAUAAUAUAUUGAACCGCAUGGUUCAAUAGUGAAAGACGGUUUUGCUGUCACUUAUAGAUGGAUCCGCGCCGCAUUAGCUAGUUGGUAAGGUAACGGCUUACCAAGGCAACGAUGCGUAGCCGACCUGAGAGGGUGAUCGGCCACACUGGAACUGAGACACAGUCCAGACUCCUACGGGAGGCAGCAGUAGGGAAUCUUCCGCAAUGGGCGAAAGCUUGACGGAGCAACGCCGCGUGAGUGAUGAAGGUCUUCGGAUCGUAAAACUCUGUUAGUAGGGAAGAACAAAUGUGUAAGUAACUAUGCACGUCUUGACGGUACCUAAUCAGAAAGCCACGGCUAACUACGUG
rnacentral:rRNA from 1 species